rnacentral:tRNA from 1 species
GCCCUGGUGGCACAGUGGUUAAAUGCCUGUACUGCAGCAACUCACUCAUACAAACCACAAGGUUGCGAGUUCAAUACUAGCCAGGGCU